rnacentral:lncRNA from 1 species
GUCAAAGCCAAAAUUCAAGACAAGGAGGGUAUCCCACCUGACCAGCAGCGUCUGAUAUUUGCCGGCAAACAGCUGGAGGAUGGCCGCACUCUCUCAGACUACAACAUCCAGAAAGAGUCCACCCUGCACCUGGUGUUGCGCCUGCGAGGUGGCAUUAUUGAGCCUUCUCUCCGCCAGCUUGCCCAGAAAUACAACUGCGACAAGAUGAUCUGCCGCAAAAGUGUGGUCACACCAACAACCUGCGUCCCAAGAAGAAGGUCAAAUAAGGUGGUUCUUUCCUUGAAGGGCAGCCUCCUGCCCAGGCCCCGUGGCCCUGGAGCCUCAAUAAAGUGUCCCUUUCAUUGACUGGAGCAGCAA